AUGAGGGUAAUAGCAAGAGGGCAGGCCUGGCUCUUGGGUCCUAGCUAUGGCUGCUGCCCCUUAGUUUGGUGCUGGGGCCAGCCCUGGCCUGUGUUGUGCCUCUCCUUGCUCCAGGCCUGGUCUCUCCUGGGCUCUUCAGAGCUGUGGCUUGUAUCUGAAAUGCUUCUUCACUGGAGAAAACUUCUCUGUUUCUCAUCAGAGUACAUCAAAUGCAGCACUCCUUCUGGUAUUGAUUUGAAGUCUUUUCAACAUUGA
rnacentral:lncRNA from 1 species